UUAUUUUUCUGAAUUUAGGUUCAAAUUUUAAUUUCCCCAGUAAAUAGGAGAUAUCAAGGUUCUAAUCUACCGAAUGCAUUCUCUGAAUCCAGUGCUAAGAUGGCUACCAUUUUUGUUUUUGUUUUUCAGUUAGUUAAUGAUAUCCAAAGUCUGGCAAGUAUUGUCUAUUGUGUUCCUAUUUGGGACAAACCCUGACUGGUCUGAAUUAAUGCAUUUGCCAAUGAAAUUGUUAAAUAUCUUGGAUAAAUUUGUGGUGAAUGCUUUAGCAUCUUGAUUGAGUAGGGGUAUGGUGCUAUCAGAACUUAGACUGGUAGUGUCUCUGUCUGGUUUAGGAAUCACCAUCAUGUUGGCUUCUUUUCAGGAUUGAAGGAUGUCACCCUUUUCCAGGACAUUGUUAUAUAGCAGAGCUAAUGGUUCAAGAAGAAGGAUUUCCAUUCCCCCCCGUCCCACUUUAAACAUCUAGUGGAAAACCAAUAUGUCCCAGAGAUUUGCCAAGUUUAAGAGAAUUUAUAACAAGAUCUAUUUCUUUUUUCUGAAAUAGGAGCUUCCAUCAGCUCUAAAUGGUUUGGUUCAAGUGUGCACUGUAGCGUUCCUGAUUCUAUUCACCUGUGCAGCUCGAUUGAUGAAUUUACCUUUUAGUGUUGCCUUAAAAGCUUCCCAUACAAUUUUUAUUUCUAUGUUACAUUUUAGAUUAAAAUCAAAAUAUUCAUUUAUCUUUUUUUCUAGCUCAGCUGUAACAAACUUGUUGUUUAAUAAACAGGUGUUCAAUCACCAAGAAAAUGUC